rnacentral:rRNA from 1 species
GACGAACGCUGGCGGCGUGCUUAACACAUGCAAGUCGAACGGAAGGGCCUGCUUUCCCUUGUGGAUUGCGGGUACUCGAGUGGCGAACGGGUGAGUAACACGUGAGUGAUCUGCCCCCAACUUGGGUAUAAGCCUGGGAAACUGGGUCUAAUUCCCGAUAGGACUGCAGGGUGGUGCCUGUGGUGGAAAACGAUUUUCUAGUGGUUGGGGAUGAGCUCGCGGCCUAUCAGCUUGUUGGUGGGGUAAUGGCCUACCAAGGCGGCGACGGGUAGCCGGCCUGAGAGGGUGGACGGCCACAUUGGGACUGAGAUACGGCCCAGACUCCUACGGGAGGCAGCAGUGGGGAAUAUUACACAAUGGGCGGAAGCCUGAUGCAGCGACGCCGCGUGGGGGAUGACGGCCUUCGGGUUGUAAACUCCUUUCGACCGCGAGGAAGCCACCUGGUUGGAAGGGUGGUGACGGUAGUGGUAGAAGAAGCACCGGCUAACUACGUG